UGUUUCCUCCAACAUCUUCACAAGGUCCUUUGCUGUUGUUCUGGGAUUGAUUUGCACUUUUUGCACCAAAGUACACAAACAUGCUUACACACAGAUGUCCUCAUCCAUAUAUAGUGCUUUAAAAUGACUGUUGUAAUUAUAAACCCAUUGGUUCUCUUACUCCGUGACCUCUGACCUCUGAUCUGAUAUGACUUCCUGUCCCUGUUUGACCUCCACAGGACAUGUUUUCUGAAUUGGAUCUGGAAGGAGAUGCAGAGAGCGAGCUACGGCAGACACAGCCAAGGGGAAGAAGAGAAAGGCCCAAGAGGAGCUGGGGACGGCCCAGCUGGAGGAGGAAGACGCGGGGACAUCAAAGGAAGCUGGGGAAGAGGGGGAUAGCGACUCGGAUGAUGUUGACGACAGCAGCGACUCGGAUGACGAGAGGUUUGUGAGUUCGGAGGACCAGUGCGAGGUGCUUGAGUGGUUCAGCUCAAGAGGUACGACCACCAUUUUAAAGAGCUCAAGAGCUAAAGAGCUUAAAAGACCUCAAGAGGUACUCCAUUUUAAAGAGCUCAAGAGUAUCUAUAAGGCGGCGGGCGUGGGUAAAGGGAAAAGAGAGGUCAAGUACGUUGUGGCCAAGAAGGGCUCCGGAACCAAGCGGGUGCGUCGGCUGUGCGGCGUCAAGGGGAAGUUCAAAGUGGUGGACGGCCGCAUGCAGAGGAAAGAUCAACGCGAGAGAGGGGGCAAAAAAGUCAUUCGGGUGAGAAGUAAGGAGUAUGGACUUUACCGAGUCUCACAGCGACACAGUGUCCAGCCUUGCUGUUGCAGCGUGGCAGCACAUGAGAGGAAUGUCAGGCAUGUGCGCUUACUGAUCCGUAGAGGCUGCAGUGUGGACAGCAGUGUUGACAGCAGGGACAACCGUGCCUGGAACGUCCUCCAGGAGACUGUGUGUGUGCGCCAGCAACUUAAAAGGCUCUGCAUGGUCAAUCCGACAUCUGAAGUGGCCACACAGAAUUUACUGCAAUGCAGCCUCUGUACAUGUCAGGGGUUUCAUAAUUAUUCUGCUAGUGGACAGAGCAGAGCUAUUGUGAAGGUGAUAAAGGCAUUUAUAUGUUUAAAGUAAUGACUAAAGGAUUCCACCCUGAAAUCAUGUAAUUGUAUGAAAUGUGUUAGAGUAAUAAUUCCAUAAUGUGUGUGACUAGACCAUUGUGUUACUAUUUCGCAAUAUGAGCUGGGUAGAGUUGAAACAUUCAAGGCUAACUGAACUGUCAACUUGUGAUAACUCUGAAAACUGACAACAGGAUAGAGGGCCCUUCCAAAGCCCCUCUAAUCUAGGGAGGAGAGGAACGGCUAGAAACUGCCAGGCAGGUAGAAAAGUGAGCGUGUGUUUGCAUUUUUGACUUCAGAGUACUCUGAACAAAGAACUAAACUAUUGCAGACUGGGGGCUUUGUCUAAUUCUUCAUUAACCAGGGUAUUACAAACUUCUGGGAAUUGGUCAAAGCUAUAGUGAUAGUUGAGUUCAACCAUUGGGAUACAAAUUCUCGUGACAGAAGGAUGUUGUCAAGUAAGUGAGUUUGUGUUUAUACAGGACGUACCACACCCACCUACCAUCAACCAAUCAUGUCAAAGCUAUAUGGAGCCCUCUGCAUCGUUACAAAAUUUGAGAGCCGCACAGCGAUACGGUACGGAGCUUGAUCGAGCCUCUGCAAAAGCUCCGCAAUUGUGUCACACUCUCCUUAUGAAGCCCCCGACCACAUUUUUGGAUCAAGCAUAAAUUGGCAUUUAGGCUGUCGGUAAGGAUUGUGUAAGUGCACCAUCUUUCUCUUUCUAUGGCUCUUCCUCAAUUGUGAAAGCCAACCUAAUGAUGAGCUAAAUUGACGACUCACUAAAUUAUUCCGCUGCUCUGUCGUUCGCUAUGUACUUUAAAGCACACAGGUAGGAUUGUCAAAUAAAUCUUUGCCUGCCGACGGAAUUUUGCCUGCCGUUCCUAGGUGAGACAAAAAGCAGAACUACAAUAGUCCCAGUAUGUAAAAUUAUGUUGACAAGAUGUUCCAUCAGCAAGGGCAUUGAAGAUGAAACGUGGCUGGGUCUUUCAGCAUGACAAUGAUCCCAAACACACCGACCAGACAACGAAGGAGUGACUUCUUAAGAAGCAUUUCAAGGUCCUGGAGUGGCCUAGCCAGUCUCCAGAUCUCAACCCUAUAGAAAAUCUUUGGAGGGAGUUGUUGCCCAGCAACAGCCCCAAAACAUCACUGCUCUAGAGGAGAUCUGCAUGGAGGAAUGGGCCAAAAUACCAGCAACAGUGUGUGAAAACCUUGUGAAGACUUACAGAAAACGUUUGACCUCUGUCAUUGCCAACAAAGGGUAUAUAACAAUGUAUUGAGAUAAACUUUUGUUAUUGACCAAAUACUUAUUUUCCACCAUAAUUUGCAAAUAAAUUCAUUAAAAAUCCUACAAUGUGAUUUUCUGGAAUUUUUUUCUUCUCAUUUUGUCUGUCAUAGUUGAAGUGUACCUGUGAUGAAAAUUACAGGCCUCUCAUCAUUUUAAGUGGGAGAACUUGCACAAUUGGUGGCUGACUAAAUACUUUUUUUGCCCCACUGUAUGUAUGUAUAUAUGUGUGUGUGUGUGUAUAUAUAUAUAUAUAUAUAUAUAUAUAUAUUAUGUGUGUGUGUGUAUUUAUAGGGGAUG
ensembl:lncRNA